UAUUUUAUAGAUAAUUAAAACAAGAUCCAUACAACAUUCAUUCGUCCUUAAUACAUAAGUUGCACAGUAGGCUAUCAUAAGUUCACAACUAGCACAAUAGGUUAUCAGUACUUCACAUCUAUCAACAAUGACUCAAUCACCACACAUCUUCCUAUGUCUGGAGUCCUCACAGUUCCUUUCCUUUACCACGGUACAAGUCUGUACCUGGAACCACAAACACAACACACAAGAAAAUGAUCAAAUAACCUAAGACAAGGAACUAUCAUUGCAUGACUGGUUCCAUAACUAAUCAUCAGUCUACACAUCAGGCCAAAUCUGACCGAUUUCAAAAGUGUUCCAAGAACUAAUUAAAAUUCACUAUAACUCAUGAUAAAUCCCAACUAAUAGAUUCCCAUAAUCAGAAUCCAAUGAAUCGACCCAGACCAUAUGGAUUCUGAUCAUGAACCGCCCGACUAAGGCCAUGGGCAUCAUUCCAGAACCGGCCAAGCCAUGGUUCCUUGCCAUCAAGUCUGAACCCACAGACUACACCAUAAUCAUUCAGAAUAUAAGAUGAAGUAAUCAGAAAGUGGAAAUGGGUGUAACCAACAAAACAGAUCGAACCAUAGACUCGGACGGAUCAACCACCGGCUAUCUCCGAUGGUUUGCAAACCACACCACUAACCUUAGGCGUCUGUUCUCCAGGGCGCCAAGUCCUUCUCCUUCUCCUUCUCUCUCUGUCUGGUAUCCACCUUGCUUCACACGGUCAGGGUUUGGUCGGAAUCGAUCAAGCAUGACCACACACGGUUUCUCUUCAAGCCGCCGGCCACUCUUUCUUCUCUUUUCUCUCACGAUUUCUUCAGGGCUUUCCCUAGGAAAAAUGAUGCUCAAAAUCGACCCCAAUGGUCUGUAUUUAUAG
rnacentral:lncRNA from 1 species